GAUGAACGCUGGCGGCGUGCCUAAUACAUGCAAGUCGAGCGAACAGACGAGGAGCUUGCUCCUCUGACGUUAGCGGCGGACGGGUGAGUAACACGUGGAUAACCUACCUAUAAGACUGGGAUAACUUCGGGAAACCGGAGCUAAUACCGGAUAAUAUAUUGAACCGCAUGGUUCAAUAGUGAAAGACGGUUUUGCUGUCACUUAUAGAUGGAUCCGCGCCGCAUUAGCUAGUUGGUAAGGUAACGGCUUACCAAGGCGACGAUGCGUAGCCGACCUGAGAGGGUGAUCGGCCACACUGGAACUGAGACACGGUCCAGACUCCUACGGGAGGCAGCAGUAGGGAAUCUUCCGCAAUGGGCGAAAGCCUGACGGAGCAACGCCGCGUGAGUGAUGAAGGUCUUCGGAUCGUAAAACUCUGUUAUUAGGGAAGAACAAAUGUGUAAGUAACUAUGCACGUCUUGCCGGUACCUAAUCAGAAAGCCACGGCUAACUACGUGC
rnacentral:rRNA from 1 species